rnacentral:ncRNA from 1 species
UAAGCCCGAGGUCAAGUCUGGAGAUGGUCAUCCAGGGUAAGUGCGGACAAAGUCCGCCGCCAUCUCCCCCAAAAGGGCUUGACCUUUGGGUGGAGGA